UACGGAGGAUGCAAGCGUUAUCCGGAAUGAUUGGGCGUAAAGCGUCCGCAGGUGGCAGUUCAAGUCUGCUGUCAAAGACCGGGGCUCAACCUCGGAAAGGCAGUGGAAACUGAACAGCUAGAGUAUGGUAGGGGCAGAGGGAAUUCCUGGUGUAGCGGUGAAAUGCGUAGAGAUCAGGAAGAACAUCGGUGGCGAAGGCGCUCUGCUGGACCAGCACUGACACUGAGGCACGAAAGCGUGGGGAGCAAACAGG
rnacentral:rRNA from 1 species